AGCUGCGCUUUGUCUCCCAUGCUGUGAUACUGCUCUGCAGGAAAGUUCAUAGCCAACAAGGACUGUCAGAUUGCCUUGUAACAUACAUCACUUUGCUAAACUCUACAUUACUCAGUUAACUGCUGUGAUAGAGGGAUACUCCAUCUAGUUCGGAAAGCAGGAGCAGCUUAAUUGUGAUAGAAUGGAGUGGGAAUGUUUCUGUCCAGGAAGAAUGUCUCAAAAGAGAUAAGGCAUUUGGCUUCCAAGUUCUCCUCACUCCAAAUCCAUCUUUCCUCUUGCAUGAUGAAAUUCUUCAGAUUUUUGGGCCUUGGAAGUUCUCCAAGAACUAGUCUAGAAAAUUGAUCAUACGUGAUUUGAAAAUGCUGCAACAUUGAAUGGAAUCUCACUGAAUAGUGGUCAUUACCUGAAAAAAAUAUUCCAUUUGCUUCAAGAAAUAAGAAGGAACAUAUUCCAGUCAUGAGAACAGACAAGAAUACAAUUCUUUUGAGGUCAUGCGAUUUUGCAGUUUGGAACAAUAUCAAUAGAUACACAGGAUGCAGCUCAGGAUACAUUAUCGUGUCCUGUCAGGCAGCAGGAGGAUAAGAACUCCAUAUUUUGAUGACACGACUAACUGGAUCAUUCUGCAUUUGUCUAGAAGCAGGUAUUAAUGUACUAUGAUGAUUUUAUUGGUAGAAUAUCUGCGAUGUUUCAUAUGUUUCCAGAGUAUGUGGCAGUUGAGCAAGGUCUUGGUAAUCUGAAUUUUUAGGUUAGAGAGUAGUCAUCUUAUUGCAUCUGCAUUCUUACAAAUCCUAUCCCUGUGUUCAGCUUCCAGAAGGGCUUAAGGUCACUCUCAAAUCCUUCUAAAGGUACCUAUCCACACCACCAGGUAUCUAAACACUUUUUAUGAUUUUGUCUUUUUGCAUAUCUCCAUUUUUGUUUCAGUGAACAUGGAGCUUGCAGUUUAGGAAAUGCUAUAAAUUUCAGUGGGAUAAACUGAGCUUUGAAGUUAAAUAUGUUACUAGGGAAUUGCAUUUAAGAGUCUGAAAUCCGCAUGCAUGUCUGGCUACGUUAACUUCAUUGCUAACUGCAUCAUCUCAGAAUUUAACUGAAGUGGUUUAAAAAUUAUGCAACAUUACAUGAUUGCUGCAUGCUUUCUCAACUAUAUACCUCAGAUUAAUAAAUAGUUAAAAAUUCAGGUGUGCUAAACAAGAAUCACAAUGUAGAAAGUGAUAUUCAAAAGAAAGAGAAAUAUUACAGGGUUAUCUGUGGAAAUAUUACAGGGUUACCUGUGAAAUAAAAGAAAGGUAAUUUAAUACUGUAACACCAACAGGCAUUUAUGUUUUGGUUUAUAUAGAAAACUGAAAUUGGUUGUCAUAUAAAAACUCAGAGUUCAGAGUAUAAAUUCAUCAACACCUUUGUAUGACUGUGGUUUAAGUAGAAUAUUUUCAUUUUGAGAGU
rnacentral:lncRNA from 7 species